rnacentral:tRNA from 1 species
GGUUUUGGCUCAGUGGUAGAUCAUCUGCCUUGCACGCAAAAGGUCUUAGGUUCCAUUCCCAGAAUCACCA